GGGGCUGCAGGCUUCUGGGUGGGGUGCCAGCCGGCCGAGUCUGGGCCCCGUUCUUCUCAUCUGUGGAGGAGGAAGCACUGUGGCCUCAGGAAAGUCAAGGCUGCCGAACCCCAAGGAACACAUUCCAGCAACAUUGUGGAAGUUACACAACCUGGACACAGACUAGUCAUCCUCUUAGGGACCCCUGGAGGUGCCCUCCCUAGGCACGAGGACUUCUCAGGUCAGGAUGGCCCAUCCCGGAUGGAGCUCAUGCCCCAGCCUCUCUGAGAACCUGUGAUCCUGCCCACAGACCAAAGCCCUGGGGCACUUGCUCAGCAGGAGGUCUCCCCUCCAGCCCACAGGAUAAAAGAAGGACACAUGGCCUUGGGCCGCUGCUUCUCACCUGCCAGGGCCUGCACGGAGGGCUGGUCGUGAGUGCUCAGCAGCUGGGCCUGGAUGGUCUCCACAACUCGCUUGAACCGACGGCUGGGACCUGGAGGGGAUACAGAGACGCACUGACUUGGGGACAGGGACAGGGAAGGCCCUCCCACCCUGUGGAACCCAGCAAAGCACUCUCCUCCUCUUGGUCUCAAUUUCUUGCCCUGUGUUGGGGCCAGGCAUAAACCCACCGUUUGCAAAUGGGCGGCUAAGAAAGAUUGGAGUUAAAAUGAUGAUGGGUGUGGCUUUCUAUUUAAAUAGGCUGUAUCAUUAGUUUCUAGUGGAGGCCAAGAAGAGCCAGGAAUACAAGAAAAAUAAUCGGGAAGUAAAAAAAAAAAAUCUUAAAAUCGAGGAAGUCUUGCAAUUAGUCUUUAAGGGAAAGGGGCAAAUAAAUAGUGUUGUAAUUCAUUUUUGUGAUGUAACGUUGUGGCAGCCUUGUUUAGAAACUCUGGGAGCAAGCCCAUCUCCCAACUGUGACAUACUAAGACUGCUAACAAGGGCAGCAAACAGAAGCAUCUCUUGUUAUUCAAACUCUCGUCAUCAGGGCUCAGGAACCAAGCUGAAUUGGAAGCAAGACAUUUCUGUGGUUUUCAUCUCUGGUGCCAACUCUUGAUUGGUCAUGGCUGCCUGCAGUUUCUGAGGCUACAGCUGAGCUCAGCAGGAAGAAGUGCUGUGAUCAACUGGUGAUGUCUGCUCUGGGUGCAGGAAUGACAUUGGACAGCAGUGAGCCACAUCUUUGAUCUUCUGCCGUACAGUCUUAACAAAAUAGGAAGGGAGCUCACACUUCAAGGUCAGCAGGGCUAGGUUGAGUCCAGCUCUGUCAUGGUUUGCAAUGUGACUCUGUCAAGUCAAUUUACCUCAACAGGACUCUGUUUUCUCCUCUGUAAAGUGGGUUAGCACUAAUACCUCAAAGGCUGCUGGGAAGCUUCAAUAAAACAGUGCAUGUAAAGCACCUGGAACAUCAUAAAUGUCCGUGAAGGAGUGCCUGGGUGGCUUAGUCCAUUAAGCGUCUGCCUUUGGCUCAGGUCAUGAUCCCAGGGACCUGGGAUCAAGCCCCUCAUUGGGCUCCCUGUUCAGCGGGGCCUACUUCUCCCUCUAUCCCUUCCCCCCGAUUUGUGCCUGCCCCACUAUCAAAUAAAUAAAAUCUUAAAAAAAAAAA